rnacentral:rRNA from 1 species
GUGGGGAAUAUUGGGCAAUGGGCGAAAGCCUGACCCAGCAACGCCGCGUGAAGGAAGAAGGCUUUCGGGUUGUAAACUUCUUUUGUCAGGGACGAAAAAAAUGACGGUACCUGACGAAUAAGCCACGGCUAACUACGUGCCAGCAGCCGCGGUAAUACGUAGGUGGCAAGCGUUAUCCGGAUUUACUGGGUGUAAAGGGCGUGUAGGCGGGAAAGCAAGUCAGAUGUGAAAACUAUGGGCUCAACCCAUAGCCUGCAUUUGAAACUGUUUUUCUUGAGUACUGGAGAGGCAGAUGGAAUUCCUAGUGUGGCGGUGAAAUGCGUAGAUAUUAGGAGGAACACCAGUGGCGAAGGCGAUCUGCUGGACAGCAACUGACGCUGAGGCGCGAAAGCGUGGGGAGCAAACAGGAUUAGAUACCCUUGUAGUCC